rnacentral:tmRNA from 1 species
GGGGCUGACCGGUUUUGACAGCGUGUAGAAGUGGUGUGUAAGCGUGCAGAGCUUUGAGACCUACGCUCUAUAAUAUCAGGUCCCGACCAAUUUAAAUGGCGAAAACAACUACGCUCUUGCUGCUUAACCGAAGAACAGUAGGUAAAGCUUAAUCGCCGCAACAGUUGCAGCGACAAGACAUCGCCCGGUUGUCCUUUUUCCGAGACUAACCGACCCGGCGGUGCUAAAAUAUCGGAGAUAGGGAGGCCGGUUCCCCGGAAGCCCCCCGAAAACUUAGGGGAUAAGGCUGCGGUUGGUGGUUUCAGGCCUGCCACAGCACGAAAAUCAACUUGAGACUACGCACGUAGAAAGCUCAUUAGUUCCACGUUUGGACGAGGGUUCAAGUCCCUCCAGCUCCACU